CCUAAAACAGGUCAACGUGACGUUGCGCUGUCUGGUCCUCGGCGCUUAAACCGUAGAUUUUAGAAAGCACUUUGAAACGAAUGAGUUCAGAAGGAUAACCACAGUUCCGAUAGAGCCAACCUUUCUGCAAACACUGGACCUCUACACUCCAAAGCUCCUGGAUUUGUUUAAAAUGAAGGGUGGGGAUGCAGGCAUAAAAAUAAAAAGUAUGCUAGAUUUUCUCUGCCAGCGAGUUGAAGAUAAGAGAGAUGCUGUGAUUCGGUGCCUGCCUUCCUACCUGGGAGAAUCAUCUGAGGAGCUCAUUGAAGCCUAACAGGAUGUCAGAAGAGACAUGAUUGAAGAUAGCUUCACCAAUCAUGUAAUGAAGACCGUUGUAAUGGGCAGCACUGCAGGAGAGGAAGAUACCAACAUAGCUGACGUCAUCAUCGUCAUUGAGGGAACUGCUGUACUGUCGGGAUGCAAGAAUCUUACAAAUGCCUGCCUUCUGCUCAUGGGCUUCAUUUACUCCCUGAACUUAAGCUAUCCUUCAAAGCUAAGAAACACAUUUGAAGUGUUUCAGAAAAUUAUUCUUGGAAUGGAUGCUUUGAAAUUUUCUCCAAAAGUUAGUUCUUUGCAGAGAAAGCUAUUGAUGUAA